UUCCAGGGGGAAUGGUUUGUCCUGGGCCUGGCGGGCAACAGCUUCAGGCCGGAGCACAGGGCGCUGCUGAACCCUUUCACCGCAACUUUCGAGCUAAGUGACGCUGGUGGCUUUGAGGUGUGGAAUGCCAUGACUCGUCGGGAGGCAGAGGCAGAAGGAUCACUUGAACUCAGGAGUUUGAGACCAGCCUGAGCAACAUAGUUAGACACCAUCUCCACUCAUGACGCUUGGCCACUCCCGCCGUGGGUCCCCCUGAAUAAGCGGCUGAAAUCUCCUGAGGGGCCCACCUUGGCAUGGACCUGCCAGCUUCCGGAGCCUUCCGCCUCCACCUGUCCCCUCCUACAGAGGCCAGCACUGUGACACGUGGUCUUAUGUGCUGAUACCAGCAGCCCAGCCCGGGCAGUUCACUGUGGACCAUGGUGUGGGCAGGAGCUGGUUGCUGCCUCCCGGGACGCUGGACCAGUUCAUCUGCCUGGGCAGAGCUCAGGGCCUCUCGGAUGACAACAUUGUCUUCCCAGAUGUGACCG
rnacentral:sRNA from 1 species